rnacentral:rRNA from 1 species
GGUUUGAUUAUGGCUCAGAGUGAACGCUAGUGGCGUGCUUAACACAUGCAAGUCGAACGGAUUCUAUUUGUGCUUGCAUAAAUAGAAUUAGUGGCAAACGGGUGAGUAAUACAUGGGAAUUUUCCUUGUAGUAUGGAAUAACUAUUGGAAACAGUAGCUAAUACCAUAUAUUGCCGAGAGGUGAAAGAUUUAUCGCUACAAGAUAAGCCCAUGCAAGAUUAGCUUGUUGGUAAGGUAAUGGCUUACCAAGGCAACGAUCUUUAGCUGGUUUGAGAGGAUGAUCAGCCACACUGGAACUUAGACACGGUCCAGACUCCUACGGGAGGCAGCAGUGGGGAAUAUUGGACAAUGGGCGAAAGCCUGAUCCAGCGACGUCACGUGAAUGAUGAAGACCUUAGGGUUGUAAAAUUCUUUUAGUGGAGAAGAUAAUGACGGUAUCCACAGAAAAAGUCCCGGCUAACUUCGUGC